rnacentral:rRNA from 1 species
AUGCGCGUCCUAUGCAUGCAAGUCGUACGCACGCGCUUCGGCGCGUGAGUGGCGCACGGCUGAGUAACACGUGGGAACCCGCCCUCCGGUGGGGGAUAACGCGACGAAAGUCGCGCUAAUCCCGCAUACGUCCGCAAGGGGAAAGCGCUUCGGCGCGCCGGAGGAGGGGCCUGCGGCCCAUCAGGUGGUUGGUGGGGUAACGGCCUACCAAGCCGAUGACGGGUAGCUGGUCUGGGAGGAUGACCAGCCAGACUGGGACUGAGACACGGCCCAGACUCCUACGGGAGGCAGCAGCAAGGAAUUUUCGGCAAUGGGCGCAAGCCUGACCGAGCAACGCCGCGUGCGGGAUGACGGCCUUCGGGUUGUAAACCGCUUUUCGGGGGGACGACUACGACGGUACCCCCGGAAGAAGCCCCGGCUAACUCUGUGCCAGCAGCCGCGGUAAGACAGAGGGGGCGAGCGUUGUCCGGAGUUACUGGGCGUAAAGCGCGCGCAGGCGGUGGUCUCAGUGUCGUGUGAAAGCCCCCGGCUCAACCGGGGGAGGUCAUGGCAAACUA